rnacentral:tRNA from 1 species
AAAAUCCGUCGACUUUUUAAAUCG